AACGUAGGAGGCGAGCGUUAUCCGGAUUUACUGGGUGUAAAGCGCGUGCAGGCGGUUUGAUAAGUUGGGUGUGAAAGCUCCUGGCUCAACUGGGAGAGGUCGCUCAAGACUGUCAGACUGGAGCGUGGUAGGGGAAGGCGGAAUUCCGGGUGUAGUGGUGAAAUGCGUAGAUAUCCGGAGGAACACCAGUGGCGAAAGCGGCCUUCUGGACCAUGACUGACGCUCAGACGCGAAAGCUAGGGGAGCAAACGGG
rnacentral:rRNA from 1 species